UGAGGCAGAUCUCUUCUUCAUUGGAGGGCGCAGAACCCAUGCCUGUUAUCCUGGCUGUUUCGCAUGAGGUUAGACGGCUCCUUUGGUGGGUUUAUCUCGCGAACCUAGAUGGGACAGACACUCUGUUGGGAAAGUUUAUCAACAUGUUCACCUCAGAUGUUUUGGGCUCUAAACCUCACCCAAUGUGUAGAAGAGAUGGGACCAUGCAGGGUUUUCAAUGCCAUAGCCCAGUAGGUAGCACUUACCUGAAGUAGGUCCCCCCUUCCCAAACACCAUCCACCUACCCCAACCCUUCCUGACUCCCCAUCUCCUCUCCUCUUCCACCGCUAGACUACGGACAGGAAGUUCCACUCCAACAGGGAGAAUCUUGCCAUUUUUCAGAAACUAAACUGGUCUUAGAAUCAUAGGUCAAGUUAAGUGGAUGUUUGAGACUGCCCAUUCAGCCGCUUCUAGAGCAGAAAUGAACAUCAAAUGGUUGGUCAACUACCCACUUCUAUAUAGAAGUGGGUGAUCAUGUUAUAUAUGAUGAUGUUGUGGAAGGUGAAGUCAACUAAUCAUGUACUUCUGAUCUGAAAGAAACAUUGGUUUCAAAGCUGCGCUGGAGGUGUGGACCGUGGAAAAAACUAAAUUUAAAGGAACCUCUUUUCCCAGAGUGUUAAAUGGACCAAAAUAAAACCGGUUGACCUCUUGACUAGAAAUGAUUAAUCUGUUGAAAAAUAUGAUCAAAUUGGCUCAUGGUUGUAGAGCAGGGGUUCUCAAAGCUUUGACAGCUGAGGGCCAAUUUAGGAACCCAAAAUUUGACUGAGGGCUGCCAAAGGCUAGAAAAUUAGGUGGAAAACGCCGUCAGCAUCCCAGUGGUGAGAAAAAACAUUGCACCGUCAAGUGAGGUCUAAAUCACGAAACUGAGGUUCAUGAUGUCAAAGUAAUGUACAGUCGGAUUAAAACAAAUGUAUUAUUAUAUUUAUUGUAUGUAUCAUUAUAACAAAUGUAACAGGAGUUAAUUGAAAGCUAGAUAGUCGACUUUUAUCUUUAUAUUUAUUUAUUUUUGUUUAAAUUAAUAUUGAUAUAAUAAGAAUAUAUAUAUAUUUUCUUUUUAACUUACAUCUGUAUGUCAUUGCGGGCCGCCAGGAAUGUUUCUGCGGGCCACCAUUGGACCGCGGGCCGCACUUUGAGAACCAAUGUUGUAGAGUGAACUCCACCAUUUCAGAGGAAGCCAUUGGUGGAUUCUUGCUUAUCAGAAUUUGUUAUUGGCUAAGCUACAGGUGAGUCACCUCUCGGCCUCCUUAUGAUGCACUCUUCAAUGUUAAUCUCCAUGAAGAUGGAUUUAGAAGUGUAUGCUACUACACACUGACCUUUGAAGAGCUGAUCAAUAAAUGUUGUUCCAUGAGCUGUAAAACGAUUCAAACUGUUAUUGACGGCACAGAGCAUUACUAGCAUAAAUGAUCGGUUGAAUAUAAAGCCCUCUUUUUAUGCUGCUGCAGAACAGGA
ensembl:lncRNA